rnacentral:rRNA from 1 species
AACGAACGCUGGCGGCAUGCCUAACACAUGCAAGUCGAACGAGACCUUCGGGUCUAGUGGCGCACGGGUGCGUAACGCGUGGGAACCUGCCCUUAGGUUCGGAGUAACUCCCCGAAAGGGGUGCUAAUACCGGAUAAUGUCUUCGGACCAAAGAUUUAUCGCCUUUGGAUGGGCCCGCGUUGGAUUAGCUAGUUGGUAGGGUAAAAGCCUACCAAGGCGACGAUCCAUAGCUGGUCUGAGAGGAUGAUCAGCCACACUGGGACUGAGACACGGCCCAGACUCCUACGGGAGGCAGCAGUGGGGAAUAUUGGACAAUGGGCGAAAGCAUGAUCCAGCAAUGCCGCGUGAGUGAUGAAGGCCUUAGGGUUGUAAAGCUCUUUUAACCGGAAUGAUAAUGACAGUACCGGGAGAAUAAGCUCCGGCUAACUCCGUG